rnacentral:rRNA from 1 species
UACGAGGGGGGCGAGCGUCGUUCGGAAUUAUUGGGCGUAAAGGGUGCGUAGGCGGUUUGGUAAGUCUUUUGUGAAAUCUCUGGGCUCAACUCAGAGUCUGCAAGGGAAACUGCCGGGCUGGAGUGUGGGAGAGGUGAGUGGAAUUUCCGGUGUAGCGGUGAAAUGCGUAGAUAUCGGAAGGAACACCUGUGGCGAAAGCGGCUCACUGGACCACAACUGACGCUGAGGCGCGAAAGCUAGGGGAGCAAACAGG